rnacentral:rRNA from 1 species
GGGGGGCGCGGGGGGUACGAAGAUAGGGCUCGCGGGCUGAAAGCUCCCGGGGUGGCAGCUUUGCCGAAUUUUUACCCUAGGCUUUUGCGUACUUCUUGUUUCCUUGGUGGGUUCGCCCACCACUAGGACAAACAUAACCCUUUUGUAAUUGCAAUCAGCGUCAGUAACAAAUUAAUAAUUACAACUUUCAACAACGGAUCUCUUGGUUCUGGCAUCGAUGAAGAACGCACCGAAAUGCGAUAAGUAGUGUGAAUUGCAGAAUUCAGUGAACCAUCGAAUCUUUGAACGCACAUUGCGCCCUUUGCUAUUCCAAAGGGCAAGCCUGUUCGAGCGUCAUUAGUACCCUCAAGCUUUGCUUGGUGUUGGGCGUCUUGUCUCUAGCUUUGCUGGAGACUCGCCUUAAAGUAAUUGGCAGCCGGCCUAGUGGCUUCGGAGCGCAGCACAAGUCGCACUCUCUAUCAGCAAAGGUCUAACAUCCAUUAAGCCUUUUCCCCACUUUUGACCUCGGAUCAGGUACGGAGACCGGGUUCCCCCCGGCAUUCUCAGUAUACCACUUAAACUUCCCAAACA